UACGUAGGGUGCGAGCGUUAAUCGGAAUUACUGGGCGUAAAGCGCACGUAGGCGGCUUUCUAAGUCGGGGGUGAAAUCCUGGAGCUCAACUCCAGAACUGCCUUCGAUACUGGAGAGCUCGAGUCCGGGAGAGGUGAGUGGAACUGCGAGUGUAGAGGUGAAAUUCGUAGAUAUUCGCAAGAACACCAGUGGCGAAGGCGGCUCACUGGCCCGGUACUGACGCUGAGGUGCGAAAGCGUGGGGAGCAAACGGG
rnacentral:rRNA from 1 species